CCCUUAGAUGUUCUGGGCCGCACGCGCGCUACACUGAUGCAUUCAACGAGUCUACAACCUGGUCUGAUAGGGCUGGGUAAUCUUUUGAAUGUGCAUCGUGAUUGGGAUAGAUGAUUGCAAUUCUUCAUCUUCAACGAGGAAUGCCUAGUAAACGCAAGUCAUCAGCUUGCGUCGAUUACGUCCCUGCCCUUUGUACACACCGCCCGUCGCUCCUACCGAUUGGGUGUGCUGGUGAAAUGUUCGGAUCGGCCGUUUGUCGCGGUUUCCGCGUCAUGUGGCUGAGAAGUUCAUUAAACCCUCCCACCUAGAGGAAGGAGAAGUCGUAACA
rnacentral:rRNA from 1 species